rnacentral:rRNA from 1 species
AUUGAACGCUGGCGGCAUGCCUUACACAUGCAAGUCGAACGGCAGCACGGGUGCUUGCACCUGGUGGCGAGUGGCGAACGGGUGAGUAAUAUAUCGGAACGUACCUUAUUGUGGGGGAUAACGCAGCGAAAGCUGUGCUAAUACCGCAUAAUCCCUAAGGGGGAAAGCGGGGGACCGUAAGGCCUCGCGCAAUUAGAGCGGCCGAUACCUGAUUAGCUAGUUGGUGAGGUAAAGGCUCACCAAGGCAACGAUCAGUAGCUGGUCUGAGAGGACGAUCAGCCACACUGGGACUGAGACACGGACCAGACUCCUACGGGAGGCAGCAGUGGGGAAUGUUGGACAAUGGGGGCAACCCUGAUCCAGCAAUGCCGCGUGAGUGAAGAAGGCCUUCGGGUUGUAAAGCUCUUUUGUCAGGGAAGAAACAGCAGCUCUAACACAGUUUGCGAAUGACGGUACCUGAAGAAUAAGCACCGGCUAACUACGUGCCAGCAGCCGCCGUAAUAC